UACGGAGGGUGCGAGCGUUGUCCGGAAUCAUUGGGCGUAAAGGGCGCGUAGGUGGCUUGGCAAGUUGGAUGUGAAAGCCCAGGGCUCAACCCUGGAAUUGCAUUCAAGACUGCCUUGCUUGAAUUCGGUAGAGGUUGGUGGAAUUCCCAGUGUAGAGGUGAAAUUCGUAGAGAUUGGGAAGAACACCCGUGGCGAAGGCGGCCAACUGGACCGACAUUGACACUGAGGCGCGAAAGCGUGGGGAUCAAACAGG
rnacentral:rRNA from 1 species